ACACACACUAACCGGUUACAUUAGUCUGCGGAAGCGCUGCGUGAGCGGUGCGGACGUCUCUCCUCCACGGUGCUUUUUAAACAUUUUUUUGCCUUCUGCCUUGUGACUUUUAUUUGUACGUUUAUUGUUUUCCGCCACUGUGGAUGUGUGCUGACGAGUGGCGUGGAUUUGUCUGGCGUGUGCACAUCCACUCAGCGCCGGUGCUUUUUGUUAACUUUUCCACUGGUGGACUAUCAUUUUUUGUUUUGGUUUCCACAGGAUACGCACUCCAAAGUGGUGGACUUUUUAAAAAGAAAAACAUGAAGUCGUCGUGACCCCUCAGUCACAUUUGUCCUCUUUUUUUAGUUGUAUUUCAUUUGGAACAGGAGAGACACACGGAAUCGUUUUCGUGGGAGUUCCCAUUUCCACCAUAUAGUUUCUGGACACAACUGGCACUGAUUUUUUUUGAUUUUUUUUUCCAUUUUUUUUAUUCUGGGUGCAAAAGAGAAACAAUAUGCCCCAGUUGUCAGGAGGCGGUGGCGGCGGUGGAGGUGCAGGAGACCCGGAGCUGUGCGCCACGGAUGAAAUGAUCCCCUUCAAAGACGAAGGAGACCCGCACAAGGAGCAAAUCUUCGCCGAGCUCAGCCACUCGGAGGAGGAGGGAGACCUGGCAGACAUCAAGUCCUCGCUGGUCAACGAGUCAGAGGGCAGCCCCAACAGCAACAGCCAUGAUGCGGUGAGACAGUCUCAAGACUCAUAUCAUGAAAAACACAGAGACCAUCCCGAUGACGGCAAGCAUCAGGACAUGUACAGCAAAGGCCAUCCGUACCCCAGCUACCCGAGUUACAUCAUGAUGGGCAACAUGAACGACUCCUACAUGACCAAUGGCUCCCUCUCGCCGCCCAUGCCCAGAACGUCCAACAAAGUUCCUGUGGUGCAGCCGUCCCAUGCAGUUCAUCCGCUCACCCCGCUGAUUACAUACAGCGACGAGCACUUCGCUCCAGGUUCCCAUUCCGGCCAUCACCCCCAAGAUACCAAACAACAAGGAAUGUCGAGGCAUCACCCCGGACCGGACAUGUCCAACUUCUACUCACUGUCUCCUGGAGGAGUGGGACAUAUCACGCCGCCGCUGGGAUGGUUCUCCCACCACAUGGUUCCUGGACCGCCGGGUCCUCACGCCACAGGUAUCCCCCACCCAGCCAUCGUCAACCCCCAGGUCAAACACGAGCCCCUGCACGAAACGGACAUCAUGCACAUGAAGCCCCAGCAUGAACAGAGAAAGGAACAGGAGCCCAAAAGACCGCACAUCAAGAAGCCGCUAAACGCCUUCAUGCUUUACAUGAAAGAGAUGCGCGCCAACGUGGUCGCAGAGUGCACACUGAAAGAGAGCGCCGCCAUCAAUCAGAUCCUGGGACGGAGGUGGCAUGCUUUAUCUCGGGAAGAGCAGGCUAAGUAUUAUGAGUUAGCCCGCAAGGAACGGCAGCUCCACAUGCAGCUCUACCCAGGCUGGUCUGCUCGAGACAACUAUUCACCACACGUUCCCUCUCAACGUUGGCACUUGGCGGCUGGAUUGCGGAGUGUCGGGGUAUGCCGGUGCGAUGUCCAGCAGGGGAUGAGUGAACAUGGCAGUCAGCAGCAGGACAUCAGAGUGGUCUAGUGAGCGUGAGUGCUGGAGCCACACUUUAUGCGUUCCUCUGUAUAUUUUUUAGGGAAAGAAGAAGAAGCGGAAGAGGGAGAAGAUGCAGGAGUCUGCCACAGGAGGAAAACGUAACAACUUCUCCACAUGCAAAGCCAAGGCAGCAGCUACAGGGCCUCUGCUGGAGAUGGAGGCCUGCUAAGAUUCCAUGCUGAUCCUAUACUCCCACUUAUUAUUACCUGACACCCCCCACCACCACUACCACCACUCUCUAAAACAGCAAUCCCCCUGCUGCAGAGACAUUGAACUGAACACGACAAUCACCAUUGGAGCACAUGCUCACUCUGUCACUCACACACACACACUCCAUUUAAGUUAUUGUAAGUUAUUUGUCACUUCUUUUGUGUGCUUUGUUAGACCCCCCCCCUCCCUCACUGGAUUCUUGAGACCAUUUUUGGGGUUGAGAGCGACCAAACACCUCUUGUAGAUUGCACUAAGGAGCAUGGAGGGAUCUCAUCUACCGUUUUUAAGUUGGUUGGACCAGUCAAUGUUAUCAUUUUGACUUUUUGAGCCCUUUGUUUGUAAUGGCUGUGUUUGUUUGUUUUUUUAAUAAAUAUAUAGUGCGAUAUGAUAAGCUUUGGACACAGGAAAGCCAUUUUUUUUUUCUUGUUGAAGCAUCUUGCAGAAAAUGGAACCUUUUUUUUUUUAUAACUCUUUGUAAGGACAAGGUCAGAUGUAAAAUAACGCUCAGUGUGUGCGCGUGUUUUUCAGGAUAUUGUCCAUUUUCUUGGUAUUUUUGCAGGCAACAUUACGACAACAUGCAGGUGAGAGUAAGGCCUAUAUUUUAUUGUUGGACAAAAACAAAAAGACAAAUGAAGCAGAUAUAUAUAUUUACCCCAGCACUUGGCAGUCUGUCUUUUAUUGCAAUGGACCUUUUUGUCUUUAUUUCUUCUUCUGGUAGCAAAUAGUGUGCUCUUUGUUUUUCUAAACCCCUUUCUCCCCAUGCAAGCAUCUCUAAUAUUUUGAUUCUCUAUUUUACUAUUCCUCCAUGAUGAUGAUGAUGAUAAAUUUCUCUUUGUGUUGAUAUAAUUUCAGGUCACUGUCGUCUUGGGAGUAGCACUUUGCUUCCCAGGUGGUCAUAUUUGAACUGUUUCACAUGUUUUUGUUUGUUUUUUUUAAGAAAAAAAAAUAAAAAGGCACCAUUUGCUCAUUUG